rnacentral:lncRNA from 1 species
CUUAUCUCCACUGUUAUCUGGGCUGCAACAAGUCUGGCCUGCAAACAAGAAGACACACGACAGUGCGCUGUCUUGUUUUUGUUUGGCCCCGUUUUUAGCGCU